AUUGAACGCUGGCGGCAUGCUUUACACAUGCAAGUCGAACGGUAACAGGUCUUCGGAUGCUGACGAGUGGCGAACGGGUGAGUAAUGUAUCGGAACGUGCCCAGUAGUGGGGGAUAACUACUCGAAAGAGUGGCUAAUACCGCAUGAGAACUGAGGUUGAAAGCGGGGGACCUUCGGGCCUCGCGCUACUGGAGCGGCCGAUAUCAGAUUAGGUAGUUGGUGGGGUAAAGGCCUACCAAGCCGACGAUCUGUAGCUGGUCUGAGAGGACGACCAGCCACACUGGGACUGAGACACGGCCCAGACUCCUACGGGAGGCAGCAGUGGGGAAUAUUGGACAAUGGGCGCAAGCCUGAUCCAGCAAUGCCGCGUGUGUGAAGAAGGCCUGCGGGUUGUAAAGCACUUUCAGU
rnacentral:rRNA from 1 species